AAAACUCUAAGCGGUGGAUCACUCGGCUCAUGGGUCGAUGAAGAACGCAGCAAACUGUGCGUCAUCGUGUGAACUGCAGGACACAUGAACAUCGACAUUUUGAACGCAUAUCGCAGUCCAUGCUGUUAUGUACUUUAAUUAAUUUUAUAGUGCUGCUUGGACUACAUAUGGUUGAGGGUUGUAAGACUAUGCUAAUUAAGUUGCUUAUAAAUUUUUAUAAGCAUAUGGUAUAUUAUUGGAUAAAUAUAAUAAUUUUUAUUCAUAAUAUUAAAAAAUAAAUGAAAAACAUUAUCUCACAUUUGAAUGUGAAAAACGAAGAGAAAUAUUUUCUUUUUCAAUCAAAUAAUACUGAGAAAUGUCUAGCAUAAAAAAUUGAAAUAUUUUUCAUCUAGAAUUGUCUCUUAUUAAUGAUUCGGAAAUAGAAAAAUCUUGGUUAUGUUAUUAUUCUUCGUUGGUUCGUUAAAAAUGGAUAAAUAAAAACUUUGCAUACAAGAAUUAAUAAAAAUGUUAUAACGAAUUUAAUUAAAUGUUUUAUCAUUAUAUAUAAAGAAUUUAUGGCAAGAUAAAGUUAUAUACAACCUCAACUCAUAUGGGACUACCCCCUGAAUUUAAGCAUAUUAAUUAGGGGAGGAAAAGAAACUAACAAGGAUUUUCUUAGUAGCGGCGAGCGAAAAGAAAACAGUUCAGCACUAAGUCACUUUGUCUAUAUGGCAAAUGUGAGAUGCAGUGUAUGGAGCGUCAAUAUUCUAGUAUGAGAAAUUAACGAUUUAAGUCCUUCUUAAAUGAGGCCAUUUACCCAUAGAGGGUGCCGUGAGGGAAAGUUGAAAAGAACUCUGAAUAGAGAGUUAAACCAGUACGUGAAACUGCUUAGAGGUUAAGCCCGAUGAACCUGAAUAUCCGUUAUGGAAAAUUCAUCAUUAAAAUUGUAAUAUUUAAAUAAUAUUAUGAGAAUAGUGUGCAUUUUUUUCCAUAUAAGGACAUUGUAAUCUAUUAGCAUAUACCAAAUUUAUCAUAAAAUAUAACUUAUAGUUUAUUCCAAUUAAAUUGCUUGCAUUUUAACACAGAAUAAAUGUUAUUAAUUUGAUAAAGUGCUGAUAGAUUUAUAUGAUUACAGUGCGUUAAUUUUUCGGAAUUAUAUAAUGGCAUAAUUAUCAUUGAUUUUUGUGUUUAUUAUAUGCACUUGUAUGAUUAACAAUGCGAAAGAUUCAGGAUACCUUCGGGACCCGUCUUGAAACACGGACCAAGGAGUCUAACAUAUGUGCAAGUUAUUGGGAUAUAAACCUAAUAGCGUAAUUAACUUGACUAAUAAUGGGAUUAGUUUUUUAGCUAUUUAUAGCUAAUUAACACAAUCCCGGGGCGUUCUAUAUAGUUAUGUAUAAUGUAUAUUUAUAUUAUUUAUGCCUCUAACUGGAACGUACCUUGAGCAUAUAUGCUGUGACCCGAAAGAUGGUGAACUAUACUUGAUCAGGUUGAAGUCAGGGGAAACCCUGAUGGAAGACCGAAACAGUUCUGACGUGCAAAUCGAUUGUCAGAAUUGAGUAUAGGGGCGAAAGACCAAUCGAACCAUCUAGUAGCUGGUUCCUUCCGAAGUUUCCCUCAGGAUAGCUGGUGCAUUUUAAUAUUAUAUAAAAUAAUCUUAUCUGGUAAAGCGAAUGAUUAGAGGCCUUAGGGUCGAAACGAUCUUAACCUAUUCUCAAACUUUAAAUGGGUAAGAACCUUAACUUUCUUGAUAUGAAGUUCAAGGUUAUGAUAUAAUGUGCCCAGUGGGCCACUUUUGGUAAGCAGAACUGGCGCUGUGGGAUGAACCAAACGUAAUGUUACGGUGCCCAAAUUAACAACUCAUGCAGAUACCAUGAAAGGCGUUGGUUGCUUAAAACAGCAGGACGGUGAUCAUGGAAGUCGAAAUCCUCUAAGGAGUGUGUAACAACUCACCUGCCGAAGCAACUAGCCCUUAAAAUGGAUGGCGCUUAAGUUGUAUACCUAUACAUUACCGCUAAAGUAGAUGAUUUAUAUUACUUGUGAUAUAAAUUUUGAAACUUUAGUGAGUAGGAAGGUACAAUGGUAUGCGUAGAAGUGUUUGGCGUAAGCCUGCAUGGAGCUGCCAUUGGUACAGAUCUUGGUGGUAGUAGCAAAUAAUCGAAUGAGACCUUGGAGGACUGAAGUGGAGAAGGGUUUCGUGUGAACAGUGGUUGAUCACGAGUUAGUCGGUCCUAAGUUCAAGGCGAAAGCCGAAAAUUUUCAAGUAAAACAAAAAUGCCUAACUAUAUAAACAAAGCGAAUUAUAAUACACUUGAAUAAUUUUGAACGAAAGGGAAUACGGUUCCAAUUCCGUAACCUGUUGAGUAUCCGUUUGUUAUUAAAUAUGGGCCUCGUGCUCAUCCUGGCAACAGGAACGACCAUAAAGAAGCCGUCGAGAGAUAUCGGAAGAGUUUUCUUUUCUGUUUUAUAGCCGUACUACCAUGGAAGUCUUUCGCAGAGAGAUAUGGUAGAUGGGCUAGAAGAGCAUGACAUAUACUGUUGUGUCGAUAUUUUCUCCUCGGACCUUGAAAAUUUAUGGUGGGGACACGCAAACUUCUCAACAGGCCGUACCAAUAUCCGCAGCUGGUCUCCAAGGUGAAGAGUCUCUAGUCGAUAGAAUAAUGUAGGUAAGGGAAGUCGGCAAAUUAGAUCCGUAACUUCGGGAUAAGGAUUGGCUCUGAAGAUUGAGAUAGUCGGGCUUGAUUGGGAAACAAUAACAUGGUUUAUGUGCUCGUUCUGGGUAAAUAGAGUUUCUAGCAUUUAUGUUAGUUACUUGUUCCCGGAUAGUUUAGUUACGUAGCCAAUUGUGGAACUUUCUUGCUAAAAUUUUUAAGAAUACUAUUUGGGUUAAACCAAUUAGUUCUUAUUAAUUAUAACGAUUAUCAAUUAACAAUCAAUUCAGAACUGGCACGGACUUGGGGAAUCCGACUGUCUAAUUAAAACAAAGCAUUGUGAUGGCCCUAGCGGGUGUUGACACAAUGUGAUUUCUGCCCAGUGCUCUGAAUGUCAAAGUGAAGAAAUUCAAGUAAGCGCCAAAUGCCUCGUCAUCUAAUUAGUGACGCGCAUGAAUGGAUUAACGAGAUUCCUACUGUCCCUAUCUACUAUCUAGCGAAACCACAGCCAAGGGAACGGGCUUGGAAUAAUUAGCGGGGAAAGAAGACCCUUUUGAGCUUGACUCUAAUCUGGCAGUGUAAGGAGACAUAAGAGGUGCAGAAUAAGUGGGAGAUAUUAGACCUCGGUUUGGUAUCGUCAAUGAAAUACCACUACUCUUAUUGUUUCCUUACUUACUUGAUUAAAUGGAACGUGUAUCAUUUCCUAGCCAUUAUACGGAUAUAUUUAUUAUAUCUUAUGGUAUUGGGUUUUGAUGCAAGCUUCUUGAUCAAAGUAUCACGAGUUUGUUAUAUAAUCGCAAACAAAUUCUUUAAUAAAACGAUGCAUUUAUGUAUUUUUGAUUUGAAAAUUUGGUAUAACUCCAAUUACUCAGGUAUGAUCCAAUUCAAGGAAGCAAAAUUCACCAAGCGUUGGAUUGUUCACCCAUGCAAGGGAACGUGAGCUGGGUUUAGACCGUCGUGAGACAGGUUAGUUUUACCCUACUAAUGACAAAACGUUGUUGCGACAGCAUUCCUGCGUAGUACGAGAGGAACCGCAGGUACGGACCAAUGGCACAAUACUUGUUCGAGCGAACAGUGGUAUGACGCUACGUCCGUUGGAUUAUGCCUGAACGCCUCUAAGGUCGUAUCCGUGCUGGACUGCAAUGAUAAAUAAGGGGCAAUUUGCAUUGUAUGGCUUCUAAACCAUUUAAAGUUUAUAAUUUACUUUAUAAACGACAAUGGAUGUGAUGCCAAUGUAAUUUGUAACAUAGUAAAUUGGGAGGAUCUUCGAUCACCUGAUGCCGCGCUAGUUACAUAUAAAAGCAUUAUUU
rnacentral:rRNA from 1 species